CAGCAGCCGCGGGAAUACGAAGGGUGCAAGCGUUAAUCGGAAUUACUGGCCGUAAAGCGCGCGUAGGUGGUUUGGUAAGAUGGAUGUGAAAUCCCCGGGCUCAACCUGGGAACUGCAUCCAUAACUGCCUGACUAGAGUACGGUAGAGGGUGGUGGAAUUUCCUGUGUAGCGGUGAAAUGCGUAGAUAUAGGAAGGAACACCAGUGGCGAAGGCGACCACCUGGACUGAUACUGACACUGAGGUGCGAAAGCGUGGGGAGCAAACAGGAUUAGAUACCCGCGUAGUCCCUGUCUCUUAUAC
rnacentral:rRNA from 1 species